UUUAAGGUCUAACCUGCCCAAUGAGGAUUUAAAUGGCCGCAGUAUUUUGACUGUGCAAAGGUAGCAUAAUUAUUAGUUUUUUAAUUGAAAGCUUGUAUGAAGGGUUGGACGAGAUAAAAUCUGUCUUUAUUUAAAUUAAAGUAUAAUUUAACUUUUAAGUCAAAAGGCUUAAAUGUUUAUAAAAGACGAGAAGACCCUAUAGAUCUUUAUUUAAUUAAGAUUUUAAUAAUUUAGGAUUAUUUUAAUUUGGAGUCUUAAUUAAAUUUUAUUGGGGUAAUAUAAAGAUUAAAUGAAUUCUUUUUAUUUAUGACAUUAAUUUAUGAAUAUAUGAUCCAUUAAUAUUGAUUAUAAGAUUAAGUUACCUUAGGGAUAACAGCGUAAUUUUUUUGGAGAGCUCAUAUCGAUAAGAAAGUUUGCGACCUCGAUGUUGGAUUAAAAAUUAGCUUGGGUGCAGAAGCUCAAGAUUUUGGUCUGUUCGACCAUUAAAUUUUUACAUGAUCUGAGUUCAGACCGGCGUAAGCCAGGUCGGUUUCUAUCUUUAUUUAGAUAAAAUAUUUUAGUACGAAAGGACCAAGUAUUUAAUAUAAUUAUAUUUAUUUUUUGAAGAAUAUU
rnacentral:rRNA from 1 species